GACGAACGCUGGCGGCGUGCUUAACACAUGCAAGUCGAACGGAAAGGCCCUGCUUUUGUGGGGUGCUCGAGUGGCGAACGGGCGAGUAACACGUGAGUAACCUGCCCUUGACUUUGGGAUAACUUCAGGAAACUGGGGCUAAUACCGGAUAGGAGCUCCUGCUGCAUGGUGGGGGUUGGAAAGUUUCGGCGGUUGGGGAUGGACUCGCGGCUUAUCAGCUUGUUGGAGGGGUAGUGGCUUACCAAGGCUUUGACGGGUAGCCGGUCUGAGAGGGUGACCGGCCACAUUGGGACUGAGAUACGGCCCAGACUCCUACGGGAGGCAGCAGUGGGGAAUAUUGCACAAUGGGCGGAAGCCUGAUGCAGCAACGCCGCGUGCGGGAUGACGGCCUUCGGGUUGUAAACCGCUUUCGCCUGUGACGAAGCGUGAGUGACGGUAAUGGGUAAAGAAGCACCGGCUAACUACGUG
rnacentral:rRNA from 1 species